ensembl:lncRNA
AGAGAAUGCAUUAAUCUUACAGAGACAAGCUCAUGAAGAUUAAUGAAUAGAUAUUAAAAACCUGGCUAAGAACACAAGCAUAUGCAAUGAAGAUCUGCUUGCUGCUUGUAUGAGUGAGAGAAUGGUGUGAAUGGUUAAUACAACUGAUGGAAAGAUUUAAAAUAGAUGGAAAAAACAAAAGAAGAGUGUUUAUAAGAGUGACUCAGCAGUGCUUUUGCACUGAGUGAUUAAAACAAGUGAUUAGUAUAGAAAGAAAAUGAAAAUAAUUCAAUAAUGUGAUAAAGUUUAAACAUGUAUUCCUCUUGUUAAGUUGGCUGUUGAGCUGUGGGUUUAUGCAAAUUAGCUGGAGUGAGUGAGUGACAAAGACACUUCCUGUGUGCGUGUGUGUCGGAGGCUUUCGGUUCAGUUCAAGAGAGAGCAGUGGCUGUUGAAGAGUAUUGGGAGAAAUAUAUAAUGGUAAAGUAUCAGGAUAUUUGAUUACGGUGGUCAGGUCUGUUCAGAGGGGCAGAUUUGGACAGGAAAUUUAUAAUUUAAGGAUGAUACGUUGUUGAAAUUGGUUUUUAUCUUGUGCUGAAUGAAAACGGUCUUUGAUCUUUUGACGAGGUUUUCGUGUGUUGAAUGGGUGAAAUUUAAGAUUGUUUCAGAUUUUUGAGGCUGUUGUUUUAUUUCCAGAGAGGGUGUUUAAUUAAGACAUGGAUCUGUCUGAGAGGGGCCCCAAAAAUUUUUUUUUGUAGUAGUGCACUCAGGAAAAACCUGUCAGGUGAUUUUGUUUGGUACUUUGAUGAGCUAAUAAUCAGCUCUCUUUUUUUCAUUUUUGUUCUAAGCAGGCCUGGAAGAGAGUGAACGGACGGCGCUGACAAAAUUACCAAGUACGAAAAUCAGGAAAUUCCAAGGAUCCAGAGUUCAAUGGAGCAACGAGUUGGAGAAGAUUUGACAUGAUGAUUAAAUUGAUUUUGUUCUUUAAACACAGGUUUUCAGGGCUAAAGCAAAACACCGGAGAGGAGAAUUGCUGAGCUGUUCUGAGAAAUGAAAUGACUAACCUUUUU